rnacentral:rRNA from 1 species
UACGUAGGGGGCAAGCGUUGUCCGGAUUUAUUGGGCGUAAAGAGCGUGUAGGCGGCCAGGUAGGUCCGUUGUGAAAACUCGAGGCUUAACCUCGAGACGUCGAUGGAAACCAUCUGGCUAGAGUCCGGAAGAGGAGAGUGGAAUUCCUGGUGUAGCGGUGGAAUGCGCAGAUAUCAGGAGGAACACCAAUAGCGAAGGCAGCUCGCUGGGACGUUACUGACACUGAGGCGCGAAAGCGUGGGGAGCGAACAGG